AAAAAGACAAACCCUGGGUUUUCGUGUCAACGUUUGACUGUCCGUAUUAUAUGAAAUUUUUUUAUAAUAAGUAUUUUCAUUGUUGUUAGAUGAUAAAACAUGAUUAAUACUUUAUGCGUGACUUAUCUUUUUAAUUUUUUUAUAAUUUUUUCAAAUAAGACGGACGGUCAAACGUUGGACACGGAAACCAGGGUUUAUCUUUUU
rfam:Oryza sativa Japonica Group DNA, chromosome 6, cultivar: Nipponbare, complete sequence.